rnacentral:rRNA from 1 species
UACAGAGGUUUCAAGCGUUGUUCGGAUUCAUUGGGCGUAAAGGGUGCGUAGGCGGCGCGGUAAGUCGGGUGUGAAAUCUCGGAGCUUAACUCCGAAACUGCAUUCGAUACUGCCGUGCUCGAGGACUGGAGAGGAGACUGGAAUUUACGGUGUAGCGGUGAAAUGCGUAGAUAUCGUAAGGAAGACCGGUGGCGAAGGCGGGUCUCUGGACAGUUCCUGACGCUGAGGCACGAAGGCCAGGGGAGCAAACGGG